CCCCGGAAUGUACCAAAAAUAUCAGAAUCAUGAAAAAGUCCCUGUGGUACUGACUGAUUUGUUGGAAGAAAAGGAGCUAUAGAAGAAGCAGACUCUUCAAACAUCCCAUUUUCCAGGGGCAAGCUAUGAGCAGGUGGCAGGUUAACUUUAAGCAUGGCAUUCCCAAUAGGAAGCUCCAUUAGCUUACCAGGUACUGGGGCAGGCCACAUUGAAACAUAAGC
rnacentral:misc_RNA from 1 species